rnacentral:rRNA from 1 species
AACGAACGCUGGCGGCAUGCCUAACACAUGCAAGUCGAACGAUGCCUUCGUGCGUAGUGGCGCACGGGUGCGGAACGCGUGGGAAUCUGCCUUUCGGCUUGGAAUAACUCAGGUAAACGUGAGCUAAUACCGGAAAACGUCGCAAGACCCAACAUCUGACCACCUAAGAUGAGCCCGCGUAGGAUUAGCCUGGUGGGGAGGUAAAGGCGCAUCAAGGCUAGGAUACUUAGCUGGUCUGAGAGGAUGAGCAGCCACACUGAGACUAGGACACGGCCCAGACUCCUACGGGAGGCAGCAGUGGCGAAUAUUGCACUAUGGGCGGGGGGCUGAACCAGCUAUGCCGCGUGAGUGAUGAAGGCCUGAGAGUAGUAAAGCUCUUUUACCCGGGAAGAUAAUGACGGUACCCAGAGAAUAAGCCCCGGCUAACUCCGUG